rnacentral:rRNA from 1 species
GAUGAACGCUGGCGGCGUGCCUAAUACAUGCAAGUCGAGCGAACAGACGAGGAGCUUGCUCCUUUGACGUUAGCGGCGGACGGGUGAGUAACACGUGGGUAACCUACCUAUAAGACUGGGAUAACUUCGGGAAACCGGAGCUAAUACCGGAUAAUAUUUCGAACCGCAUGGUUCGAUAGUGAAAGAUGGCUUUGCUAUCACUUAUAGAUGGACCUGCGCCGUAUUAGCUAGUUGGUAAGGUAACGGCUUACCAAGGCAACGAUACGUAGCCGACCUGAGAGGGUGAUCGGCCACACUGGAACUGAGACACGGUCCAGACUCCUACGUGAGGCAGCAGUAGGGAAUCUUCCGCAAUGGGCGAAAGCCUGACGGAGCAACGCCGCGUGAGUGAUGAAGGUCUUCGGAUCGUAAAACUCUGUUAUUAGGGAAGAACAAACGUGUAAGUAACUGUGCACGUCUUGACGGUACCUAAUCAGAAAGCCACGGCUAACUACGUG